GACGAACGCUGGCGGCGUGCUUAACACAUGCAAGUCGAGCGGUAAGGCCCUUUCGGGGGUACACGAGCGGCGAACGGGUGAGUAACACGUGGGUGACCUGCCCUCAGCUCUGGGAUAAGCCUGGGAAACUGGGUCUAAUACUGGAUAUGACUCCACGGUGCAUGUCGUGGGGUGGAAAGCCUUGUGCGGCUGAGGAUGGGCCCGCGGCCUAUCAGCUAGUUGGCGGGGUAACGGCCCACCAAGGCAUCGACGGGUAGCUGGUCUGAGAGGAUGGCCAGCCACAUUGGGACUGAGAGACGGCCCAGACUCCUACGGGAGGCAGCAGUGGGGAAUCUUGCGCAAUGGCCGAAAGGCUGACGCAGCGACGCCGCGUGGGGAGGAAGGGCUUCGGCUCGUAAACCCCUGUUGCCCGGGGCGAACAUCCUGUUUCGACAGGACUGACGGUACCGGGUGAGGAAGCACCGGCUAACUUCGUGCCAACCGCCGCGGUAAG
rnacentral:rRNA from 1 species